UACAGAGGUCUCAAGCGUUGUUCGGAUUCAUUGGGCGUAAAGCGCGCGUAGGUGGUCAUGUAAGUCCGCUGUGAAAGUCAAAGGCUCAACCUUUGAAAGCCGGUGGAUACUGCAUGACUAGAGUACGGAAGAGGCGAGUGGAAUUCCUGGUGUAGCGGUGGAAUGCGCAGAUAUCAGGAGGAACACCAAUAGCGAAGGCAGCUCGCUGGGACGUUACUGACACUGAGGCGCGAAAGCGUGGGGAGCGAACAGG
rnacentral:rRNA from 1 species